AAGAAUUUUGCACUCAUUAACCUUUGAACCCAAUUUGUGACCUAAUUAGGCAUUAGCUUAGCAAACAACAGAUUCGUAUUCAGCACGAAAAACUACCCCAGAAAAUGUUGUUUGCUUGCUCAUGCCUCAUGCAUCCUUAAUAUCCACAUUUCUGAGAAAUUUGACUAGUCUAUAAUAUUGAGGGAGCAUAUCUUGCCGCAACAUAUAGAUAGACCUAACACCAUUUACGGGAGCUGUAGGGGGGACACUGUCAUGUUUGUGAUCAUGGGAGUGUUGGAUGUUGAUGUACUAGAGUCACAGGCAAAGAUCCAGUACACACAUUGAGAACUGGUCCGUUUCUGGUUGAAGGAUGAUGGCCAAGAAAAUUUCGAUUUCAUCUUUGACACAACAGCAGUUUUGAAAAAAGACAUUACUUUCAUGAAUUGCAUACUAAACUGCAUUUUCUGAAACUAUUACACCUGUGAACUUCUAGUCAAUGUUGCGCCUUCCUGAGCCACUAUUAAGUAUAGAGAGUUCAAUAAGGUAAAGGGAAACCUUCCAGGAUUGUCUAAGAUCAGAAAGACCUUCAGCUGCCAACACCACUGAAACUGUUGAUAACAUGAUGUGACCAUAUACAACAAACGCGAAUACCACAGGUAUUUGUCAUGUGAGGGUUGAGAAAAUAUUGAGGACUUACAGAAGAAUGACUAAGGCCUCAGUACGAUUGGCUCCACAACUCCUGUAGUCGCUGCAUAUAGAUCAUUGCGCUGUGUUGUAAGGGUGUAUGUACCAAAGCAUAGUGUUGUAAGGGUGUUUAUACCAUUGUAGAGUGUUGUAAGGAUGUGUAUAGCUUUGUAUAGUGUUGUAAGGGUGUAUAUAACAUUGUAGAGUGUUGUAAGGGUGUGUACAGCUUUGUAUAGUGUUGUAAGGGUGUAUAUAGCAUUGUAAAGUGUUGUAAGGGUGUAUAUAACUUUGUAUAGUAUUAUAAGGGUGUAUAUAGCUUUGUACAGUGUUGUAAAGGUGCAUAUAGCAUUGUAUAGUGUUGUAAAGGUGUAUAUAGCUUUGUAUAUUUUUGCAAAGGUGCAUAUAGCAUUGCCUAGUGUUGUAAAGGUGCAUGUAGCAUUGUAUAGUGUUGCAAAGGUGUACAUACCGUUGCAUACUAGUGUUGUUAGGGUGUAUAUAGCAUUGUAUAGUGUUGUAAGGGUGUAUAUAGCUUUGUAUAGUAUUAUAAGGGUGUAUAUAGCUUUGUACAGUGUUGUAAAGGUGCAUAUAGCAUUGUAUAGUGUUGUAAAGGUGCAUAUAGCAUUGUAUAGUGUUGUAAAGGUGUAUAUAGCUUUGCAUAAUGUUGUAAAGGUGUAUAUAGCUUUGUAUUGUGUUGUAAAGGUGUAUGUAGCUUUGUAUGCUGUUGUAAAGGUGCAUAUAGCUUUGUAUAGUGUUGUAACAGUGUCUAUAGAUUUGUAUGGUGUUGUAAGGGUGUAUAUAGCUUUAUAUGGUGUUGUAAGGAUGUAUGUAGCUUUGUAUGGUGUUGUAAGGGUGUAUAUAGCUUUGUAUAGUGUUGUAAGGGUGCAUAUAGUUUUGUAUAGUGUUUUAAAUAUGUAUAUAACAUUGCAUAGUGCUGUAAGAGUGUAUAUAACAUUGUAUAGUGUUGUAAGGGUGUAUAUAACCUUGUAUAGUGUUGUAAGGAUGUGUGUAGCUUUGUAUGGUGUUGUAAGGGUGUAUGUAGCGUUGUAUGGUGUUGUAAGGGUGUAUAUAGCUUUGUAUAGGAUUUUAAGGGAAUGUUUGCCUUUGUAUAUAGUUGUAAAGGUGUUUACAUCAUUAUAUAGUGUUGUAAGGAUGUUUAUAUCAUAAUAUAGUGUUGUAAGAGUGUUUAUGUCAUAAUAUAGUGUUGUAAGGGUGUUAUAUAUCAGUAUAUAGUGUUGUAAGGGUGUUUAU